AUUGAACGCUGGCGGCAGGCCUAACACAUGCAAGUCGAACGGCAGCACAGAAGAGCUUGCUCUUUGGGUGGCGAGUGGCGGACGGGUGAGUAAUGUCUGGGAAACUGCCCGAUGGAGGGGGAUAACUACUGGAAACGGUAGCUAAUACCGCAUAACGUCGCAAGACCAAAGUGGGGGACCUUCGGGCCUCACACCAUCGGAUGUGCCCAGAUGGGAUUAACUAGUAGGUGGGGUAAUGGCUCACCUAGGCGACGAUCCCUAGCUGGUCUGAGAGGAUGACCAGCCACACUGGAACUGUGACACGGUCCAGACUCCUACGGGAGGCAGCAGUGGGGAAUAUUGCACAAUGGGCGCAAGCCUGAUGCAGCCAUGCCGCGUGUAUGAAGAAGGCCUUCGGGUUGUAAAGUACUUUCAGCGGGGAGGAAGGCGGUGGAGUUAAUAACUUCACCGAUUGACGUUACCCGCAGAAGAAGCACCGGCUAACUCCGUGCCAGCCGCCGCAGUAA
rnacentral:rRNA from 1 species